rnacentral:rRNA from 1 species
AUGUACUUUCCUUCUUCCUCAAGUAGUCCUCCUCCGCGGGCGUCCUCCGCGGGCGUCGGCGACCGCCACAGCCGGGACUACGUCGAGCGCGGCCCCCCCAACGGGGACUUCUACACGGGGCAGUGGCGCGGCGGCGCGCCGCACGGCGCCGGGAAGUACCUGUGGACGGACGGGUGCAUGUACAAGGGGGAGUGACAGCACGGCAUGGCCACGGGCCGGGGCAAGUUCUCCUGGCCGUCGGGCGCCACCUACGGUGAAUUCAAGGACGGCUUCAUGGACGGCGACGACACCUACACCGUCGCCGCCGGGGACACGUACAAGGUUUCCUGGUCCAUGAACCUCAAGGACGGCGACGGCAGGAAGAGCUACGCCAACGGCGACCAAUACGACGGUGACUGGCGCUCCGGGCUGCAGGACGGCGCCGGCUGCUACAUCUGGCGCAACGGGACCGAGUACGGGGAGUGGCGGGCCGGCCUCAUUGAUGGCCGCGGCGCGCUCGCCUGAGCCGACGGCAACCGCUACGACGGCGGCUGGGAGGACGGCUGCCCGCGCGGCCAGGGCACCUUCCGAUGGGCCGACGGCAACGUCUACGUCGGCUUCUGGACGCGAGACGGCCUGAGCGGCAUUGCCCAGGAGAAGGACGUCUACCACCCGUCUCUGGCGGCGUCGUCCCCGACGGCGCGCGACCCCCGCGAUGUGUUCGCGAGGGGAUUGCCGGGGUUCAUGGGCGUCGGCGCCACCGAGUCCACGCCGCUGCAGAGGCCGCUCAACAGUUCGGGUAACCGGACGGCCAAUGGGCGGGCGAGCUCCGUGUCCGGGAUGAGCAGUUGCUCCGGCGACCGGAAGUACGACAAGAUUUGCAUCUGUGAGUCAGACGGCGACAUCACCUGCGACAUUGUGGACGGGGCCGCCCUGGUGGACGACGCGCGGAGGAGCGUGAGGACGGAGGACGGCAGGGACAGCGGGGAGCUUCUGCCCCUGCCGUCCCCGGCACCGCGCAUUGCCAAGUGGGUGUCCCCGCCGCAGGCGAAGCAAUAGGGGGAGGCCAUCGUCAAGGGACACAAGCACUACGAGCUCAUGCUGAACUUGCAGCUCGGGAUCAGGUGGGUUGCUUCUGUCAUCUUCCUUCGGCAGCGAGUCUGA